GUUGAGGCAGAGAACUGACUUGAGCGUCGGAGGGUCUUGCCGGAGCAACCCCACCUCCGGUUUAGACUUCCCUUGCAGGUCCCGGCGGCGACCGCGGCUUCCCCGACUCUAGCUUCUCCGGCGCAAGCAGAUUUUUGCACCAACAAUAUCUAUAUCAAUAUAUGUAUAUGUGUAGGUAUGUAGUUAUACUAAAGCACAAAAGCU
rnacentral:lncRNA from 1 species